rnacentral:lncRNA from 1 species
GGUGCGAAUCAAAUGUGUGCUAAGAUCAUGUCUCACACAUAUGAUAACUCAUGGUACAGAAACAAAUGUCACAUCUUUAAUAUAAUGGAGUUCUGUAUAAAAUAGUUAGAUAAUUACAUCAUACGAAGAUAAAGAUCCAACAACCAUAGUUGACUGGGAGACGAAGGCCUAGACCUCUCACGAACUCAAAACAACAUCCUUCAUGCUCCUCAUCCUAUGGUACUUGUUCUUGACCUAGGGGGUGUGUGAGUACAGUAAGGGUGAGAUCACAUACGUUCAUCGCUCAAAAAGUUGUGGGGAAUAAGGUGCAUGAGCUUACUUACGGUGGGUGCUCAUGUGAAGUGUAAGGCUUACCAAAGAGGAUGGUUGAAGCUGAGCAUUGCUUUUAAAGUUGGUUAAAGUUUUAUUAGCAGUUACUAAGUAUAAGUAGAUACCAACCCAAUCAAAUAAGAUAUCACAAUUAAUAAUAACACCCACAAUGCAAUGCAAAUAACAAAUUAAGUUUAGUUCCAUAAAUUACUCAUGUGAGGGUUCGAGCCGCUCAUGACCGUGAGCAUGGCUGAUACCAGUUUUACACUCUACAUAGGUUGUGCAUCUUUACCCACAAGUCGUGUUACCCAUCUACCACGGGAUCAUGAAUCCCAUACACCUCUACCGAGGAGGCGAGACAGGGUAGCACUACGAGGCCUUUAUAAAGUUCCACUAGCUUUAGAAAACCUACUACAGUUUCCGAGAAGGGCGAUAUAGGAAUCCCUCGCCCGAAAAGCCAUCGCAGCAUGAUCAACCCGAGAACCUCCCUAUACCAUAGCUCCUCUACCGCCCUUGCCCCUUUCGGGUAAGGUAAUCCUCCCCUAGCUUUUCUAAUUAGUCAGCCAAUGGAAUCCCAUACCACCCUUGUGGUAGCACUAUUUUCCUGGGUGAUCGCUCCAUGUUCCAAUUAACAUAAUAAUCUUGUCAUGAACAAUAAUAAACCAACAAUAAUAGUGAAACAUGAUCAUAAUUCAAUAUAUCAUUAAUCCCAAAACUAGGUAGAGCAAUAGCAAUACUACCCAAUAGUUCAUUUGUUUGCAAGGUGUGGGAUAAACAAUACUAGGGAAACCUAUUAGGUCCCAUCAAAUUAACCUGAGCAUGGCACAAUGAUUAACAUGAACAUUAUUAGGUAGAGAAAAGUGAUCAAGGGCACAACUUGCCUUAGACUUGAGAUCCUAGGUAUUUCUCCAAGUUAAUCUUCAAGUUUCUCGUGACCUCACUGCUACUCGUAGCAAAACAUACAAAUAGACAAAGAGUACAUAAAAUAACAUUACACCAAACACGAUAACAAAAAAUGUAAAAAUAUUCUACGCGCUGCUACGAGAGUGUAGGUUAGAGAAUCACUAAAAUCAGAGUUAUGGUUGAAAAGGUAUGGCUUUCUGAAGUUUUAGAUGGUUAAAUAAUAAAAGUAUAAUCUAUGCUAAUUAAUAAUAGGUGAAACAAUUAUUGUAAAGAAGUAACUAAUCCAAGCUAUAACUUGUUUAGAAGUCAUAUUUUAGUCAAAUUAUAGAUGGAUCAAGUUAACUCUGAUUAGAAUAGAUAAUCUAGUCAGCAUAGGCUAAACCAACUAGUUAUCUAUUUUUGAAAACAUGUUAUAUGAUAGUAUAAGGUUAGUAUAGUGUAGGCAAGAUUGUUAUGAAGAUAACACAAUUUGGACGGAUUAAAUUGGAGUUAAAACGUAGAAGUUGUGAGUUUUGUAAGCAUUUAGGAUUUUCUUUACACAAAUAUCAUUUUCUAUGUCUAUUUUAUUAAUUCUAGCAAAUAAAUGGACUGCAGAUUCAAGUUGGUAAAGGCACAAGGGUUUAUUUGCAAGUUUUAGGAUCUAUUUUAAAUACCUUUCCAAAUAGCUUGGACGAUGGGUUAAUUAUAAAAGAACCUAGGGUCUCUUUAAGAAUUUGCCCCAGUCGAAGGGGUAUCGGAAACUCUGAACCACCAAAUCUAAAAUCUAGGACCCCAAUUGCAUCUAGCCCAUGCCGAACAGGUAAGCAGUGUUAACCAUUAGAUCGAGAUCUGAUGGCCCGGAUCCAAUGUAACCGAACAAAGCUUCUAUAAUCUAAUCAUGUCCGUAGAAAUAUGAUCUGACGGUCACGACUGCUCUCCCCAUCUGACUCUAUCCCCUGGUCGAGAACCCUGACGAUGCCAUACGAUCCGGCACAGCGGCGCCACGGUCGUGGCCCCCAAAACCCAUGACCCCAUGCACCACUCUUUGAUUCAAACACCAUUACUCGAAGCUUAGAUGUACACGAACCCAGAGAAGGGAGUCUCACCGAGGGUAGAGGUGGUGGCGAGGUUGUUCGAUGGUGUAGCGUGGCUCUACGGCGGAGGGAGCACUCCGGCGACGAAUUCUCGAUGAUUUGUUUGUCCUUGCGUCCUAAAUUUAUGCCUCUUAUCUUCCUUAUGUCUCCACGAAGCACCCAGACACGAAUCCAGACCCCGAAUGGCGACGCUCCUCAAUCCCGCCCGCGGCGGUGGUGCUUUUCCUUUGGCGCGCUCCGCGAUUCCCCCUGUGCCCUCAGAUUUGCGUGCUCUCAACGUUUGGGUGGCCAAGGAGGAGGCAGGAGUGUCCUAUAUAUACUCCAGGAGGACAAGCAGGCGCCAGGUCCGCUGGAAUCGUGCGGCGCGGGGAGCUCGGCCGCGCCUAUCACGAGUUGGUUGGGAGGACGGAUCUGACAACCCGGUCCCACGGUCGGUGGCGUGAGCACCAGAGUUGGACCGCAAUAUACGUUGAGGAGAGGGAGAGGGAGC